rnacentral:rRNA from 1 species
CGAAUGCUGACAUAAGUAACGAUAAAGCGGGUGAAAAGCCCGCUCGCCGGAAGACCAAGGGUUCCUGUCCAACGUUAAUCGGGGCAGGGUGAGUCGACCCCUAAGGCGAGGCCGAAAGGCGUAGUCGAUGGGAAACAGGUUAAUAUUCCUGUACUUGGUGUUACUGCGAAGGGGGGACGGAGAAGGCUAUGUUGGCCGGGCGACGGUUGUCCCGGUUUAAGCGUGUAGGCUGGUUUUCCAGGCAAAUCCGGAAAAUCAAGGCUGAGGCGUGAUGACGAGGCACUACGGUGCUGAAGCAACAAAUGCCCUGCUUCCAGGAAAAGCCUCUAAGCAUCAGGUAACAUCAAAUCGUACCCCAAACCGACACAGGUGGUCAGGUAGAGAAUACCAAGGCGCUUGAGAGAACUCGGGUGAAGGAACUAGGCAA